rnacentral:rRNA from 1 species
UACAGAGGUCUCAAGCGUUGUUCGGAUUCAUUGGGCGUAAAGGGUGCGUAGGCGGCGCGGUAAGUCGGGUGUGAAAUCUCGGGGCUUAACUCCGAAACUGCAUUCGAUACUGCCGUGCUUGAGGACUGGAGAGGAGACUGGAAUUUACGGUGUAGCGGUGAAAUGCGCAGAUAUCGGGAGGAACACCAGUAGCGAAGGCGGCUCGCUGGGCCACACCUGACGCUGAGACGCGAAAGCUAGGGGAGCGAACAGG